AGUUGGUCCGAGAGUUGUGGGUUAUUGUUACAUUUGAUUCGAAUGGAACAUUGUCUCCCCCCACAACUGAGUUUGACUGGCUUUGCUUUUC
rnacentral:Y_RNA from 13 species